UGAAUACGAGAUGCUACGGCGUCGAAGCAGUGUAUGUCAGACUUCCAAGAAAAGCUCGCAAUGUCAUAAAUAAAGAAUGCCUGUACCAUAACCGACACAGGUGGGUAGGUAGAGUAUACUAAGGGGCGCGAGAUAACUCUCUCUAAGGAACUCGGCAAAAUAACUCCGUAACUUCGGGAGAAGGAGUGCCUUCUUUAAGAAGGUUGCAAUAACAAGAUCCAAGCAACUGUUUAUCAAAAACACAGGUCUCCGCUAAGUCGUAAGACGAUGUAUGGGGGCUGACGCCUGCCCAGUGCCAGAAGGUUAAAGAAGUUGGUUAGCUUUUGCGAAGCUGAUGACUGAAGCCCUGGUGAACGGCGGCCGUAACUAUAACGGUCCUAAGGUAGCGAAAUUCCUUGUCGGGUAAGUUCCGACCCGCACGAAAGGCGUAAUGAUUUGGAUACUGUCUCGGAGAGGGACUCGGUGAAAUAGACUUGUCUGUGAAGAUGCGGACUACCUGCACCAGGACAGAAAGACCCUAUGAAGCUUUACUGUAACUUGAAAUUGAAAUUGGACUUUAUUUGCGCAGUAUAGGUGGAAGGCGUUGAAAGUAAUCUUGCGGGAUUAGUGGAGCCAUCAGUGAGAUACCACUCCUAUAAUGUUAGAUUUCUAACUUUGGAUCAUGAUCUGGUCAAAGAACAGUUUCAGGCGGGCAGUUUGACUGGGGCGGUCGCCUCCCAAAUGGUAACGGAGGCGUACAAAGGUUUCCUCUGAACGGGUAGAAAUCGUAUCUAGAGUGUAAAGGCAUAAGGAAGCUUGACUGUGAGACCUACAAGUCGAGCAGGGACGAAAGUCGGUCUUAGUGAUCUGACGGUGCUGAGUGGAAAGGCCGUCACUCAACGGAUAAAAGUUACUCUACGGAUAACAGGCUGAUCUCCCCCAAGAGUUCACAUCGACGGGGAGGUUUGGCACCUCGAUGUCGGCUCAUCGCAUCCUGGGGCGGUAGUACGUCCCAAGGGUUGGGCUGUUCGCCCAUGAAAGCGGUACCGAGCUGGGUUCAGAACGCCGUGAGACAGUUCGGUCCAUAUCCGGUGUAGGCGUUAGAAUAUUGAGAGGAGCCUUCUUUAGUACGAGAGGACCGAGAAGGACAUACCUCUGGUGUACCAGUUAUCGUGCCAACGGUAAACGCUGGGUAGCUAUGUAUGGAGAGGAUAACCGCUGAAAGCAUCUAAGUGGGAAGCCCACCUCAAGAUGAGUAUUCUCA
rnacentral:rRNA from 1 species